GCCCUCGUAACUCAGUUGGAUAGAGUGCAACUUUCCUAAAGUUGAAGUCGGGAGUUCGAACCUCUCCGAGGGCG
rnacentral:tRNA from 1 species